rfam:Echinostoma caproni strain Egypt genome assembly, scaffold: ECPE_scaffold0000665
GCACUGCUGAUAAGACCCAACUAGGUCGAAAUAGCUGUCCAGUAC